UACGUAGGUGGCAAGCGUUGUCCGGAAUUAUUGGGCGUAAAGCGCGCGCAGGCGGUCCCUUAAGUCUGAUGUGAAAGCCCACGGCUCAACCGUGGAGGGUCAUUGGAAACUGGGGGACUUGAGUGCAGAAGAGGAAAGUGGAAUUCCAUGUGUAGCGGUGAAAUGCGUAGAGAUGUGGAGGAACACCAGUGGCGAAGGCGACAUUCUGGUCUGUAACUGACGCUGAGGCGCGAAAGCGUGGGGAGCAAACAGG
rnacentral:rRNA from 1 species